CCUCAUGUGGCCUGCACUUGCACCCGCUUCCCUCUCCACAGGAUGUAAAGGCCCGUUUAAAUGAAUUAAUUCAUGACAUGUGGCAAACAUCAGCGCUGACAAGAGGAACGUACACAGUUGCAUUCUCUCAACAAAAAAGCUUGCCACUCUGGAUUCAAACAAAACUUGCUAAAAAUUUUUGUUCACAAUAACAGCCGACCGGUAAAAUCAAAAACAAUCCUGGCAAUGUUCCAUGGAAAGGCCAAGAAGAAAUGACAACAGCGAAAAGUCUGUGAAGAUGGACUCCCCCUCACAGAUGGGGCUUUAAUUAACACAUGGGCUCUCUCAUCACAACACCAUGGCCAGGUGUCGCCCAGGAAACCGUCUCAGGACCAGGCGCCUGGGACCUGUGCUCAGGGAGAGGAGGAGCAGCCAAUAAUACGCAGACUACACACUUAGUCUUCAACAUAACACAGUCUUCACAAUUAAUAGACCUGAUUAGAAUAAAGCUAAGAAACUAAAAUUAAAAAAAAAAUUACAAAAUAUGAUAACCAAAAUUUUCUUUUAUCAUUUUUCCCCCCUCUCAUUAUUUUUAUUAUUUUAAAUAAUUACUUUUAAAUUUCCACUGAACACUUGUAUUAAUUUCACUUGUAUUUCUAUGUUACAGAUUGUUUUUUUACAUUUCAAUUUUUAUGCAUUUAACCAAAGCGACUUACAUUGUAUUAAAGGUGCAUGUGUUUCUUUUUUCUUUUCAACUCAGAUUUCAGCUCUUGCUUUUGCUGGGAACUGAUCCUAUGGCCUUGACAUUGAUAGUGCUAUGCUCUACUCUUUGAGCAUCUGGCCCCAAACAAGUACAUCAAAUCCCACCCAACAGCUCGCCGGAGCGUGCCAACUGACACUCUCCAUUACGUGUCAUGCCCGCAAAGAGCCAUGGCCCACAGAGUGGCAGGACGGAGCACUUCCCAUUAGAACCCUAAAGAGGAGGACAUCAAACAAUCUGGGGAGCAAACACAACCUCGGGAGAGCCACACAUCAUCAUAUUUUAAUAGAACAUGUGGCUUCUUUGCUGUUGUCUUGUGUCCAAAUUGCAAUAGUGAAUUCUGUCCAGCUGUCGAUCUACAAAUGAGGCUCAAUUACCCAGGCACUAGCUGUAGCGUAUGUGCAAGAGCGCAGUCUCUCUCUCCACGCUCUGCCAGACUCCUGGCUCUAAAUGUUGAACAAAGUGAGACAGAGUAGUUUGAGUCGCCUUUGGUCAAGCUUCCAUGUGGGUGACAGGUGACAUCAUCCAGACUGACAAUGUUUUCUCGGCCCCCCACUUCAGCAACCCUCUGUGCUUCUGUGUGUAAACACUGGGAAGCAUUGGAUCCUGAACACAGCGAAACUGUAAAAUUGACUUUGCCACCUUCGUAAUGGAGCUGUUGGCAUGUGAUGCUUGUGCCACCACACAACACGAGCCAGUUUGAGCAUGCUUUUUUAAUGAUUGGGGUUAUGGCAUCUGCGUUAUGCUUCCUGUGUGUUGCUAUCACCAGGCGAUAGCUGUUUAGCUUUGGCCCUAUAUGCAUAAUUAUAUUCAGUGUGUAACUAAUUUUGAUUUAAUCAAAAAAUCAUGCUGAUUUUGCUAUCAAAUAUGACUGUUUAGAUGCAUCCAAUCAAAUAAUAUGAUAGUGUUAUCUAACAGACUUAACAGUUAACUUAGCUGUGUAUUUGGAUCAAAUUUAAAAAAGCCGUUUUCUUUGAAAUUUCUCCUUCAAAAUGGCUCUUCAUAAAAUUAAUUGUGUUUCAUUUUAAAAAUUGAGUGACGUUCAUUGAUGUCAGAGGCAGAGUUACAGUAUCACACUUACAGGGCCCUUGUGAGCUUUUGGAGCCCCUGUGGGAAAGUUUUGGCUUU
ensembl:lncRNA